CAGUGUGACAUGUUCUUCCCUGGUCAUAUCAGGUGGCCAAAAAGUAUGAGAGGUGGGGCUCUCUGCCACCUCCAAUGAACUGUCUCUGCACUUACUUCAUGGAGCUGGUGACACCCUCAGAGUCAUCCUCAAUUACAGAUUCAACUACAUGGAGCCAGGAAGUUUCUGGAUGGCCUGAGCUAACCAGGGCCCUUGUGGCCUAUGCAUUGGGUGAAUGGAUCCUAAGGCCUACAGACUUCCCUGAGGCUAUCUGGCUCUACCUUUAGGACCAUGAACACCCACCCAGACUUGAAGCUCACAGGCGGCAGGAGGAUGAAGAGAUGGUUUCCCGAGGUCCCUGGAGCCCUGAGUCCACCCUGUUCAUCCAGUAAACACUGACUGGGCAUCUCUUGCCAGAU
rnacentral:lncRNA from 1 species